rnacentral:snRNA from 1 species
CCUAGAACCCACAAAGGGUGU